GAUCCCUGAAGCAGUGGCUCCUCUCUCCUCUCUCCUGUCUGGAUGGGAUUCAGGCUCUCGGUGAUGUUUGGUUUCUGGUAAAAGCCUGGCUCGGUAAUAACCGCCACUCUUUCUUCUGUUAAUGGCCUCGUUUCACAGCGGAGGCCAAGAGUGUGAAGAACGCCACAUUAUCCCCCGUCGAGCAGCUGGGAAUCCACACCUGCCUCAGGUACGGCAGGAACCUGAAGCUGCUGGAGGAAGACGCCGCUCAGCAGCUGGCGGAGCUGAUGAAGCACGUCAAGACGUUCCUGUCCUCACAGAGAGCGAGGACCUCGACGCAGCUCGUCACUCUGCAGGACGGCUAUCCGGGUCACGACUGGCUGCUGUCCACCGUCUUCCUCCUCAUGGCUGGAGACAUGGAGCGCUCUCUGAGCGUUCUGCUGAACCUCUCCGCCCUGCUCGCCUCCGCCUUCGUCUGGCCUGCCAGGAUCCACGCCUCUGUCCAUCUCCCCAGAGAAGUGGCCGAAUCGGGCGUCCCGCCAGUCUACUGGUGCACCGCUCACUACGUGGAGCUGCUGCUGAAAGCCGAGGUCCCUCUGGUCCACUCCGCCUUCAGGAUGUCUGGAUUCACCCCGUCACAGAUGUGCCUCCACUGGCUGACUCAGUGCUUCUGGAACUACCUGGACUGGACGGAGAUCUGCCGCUACCUGUGCACCUGUGUGGUGAUGGGACCCGACUACCAGGUCUACAUGUGCGUGGCGGUGCUGAGGCACCUGCAGCCGGACAUCCUGCAGCACACCCAGUCCCAGGAGCUGCAGGUCUUCCUCAAGGUCAGUCCGGCCAGACCCUCCAGGGUCUCCAGGUUCUGCUUCUCUGUAACCUGGAACGUCUUUCAAG
rnacentral:lncRNA from 1 species